ACGGAAGGCAGCAGUGAGGAAUAUUGGUCAAUGGCCGGAAGGCUGAACCAGCCAUGCCGCGUGAAGGAAUAGGGUCCUACGGAUUGUAAACUUCUUUUGUACGGAGCAAUAAGAGCCACGUGUGGUCCGAUGAGAGUACCGUACGAAUAAGCAUCGGCUAACUCCGUGCCAGCAGCCGCGGUAAUACGGAGGAUGCAAGCGUUAUCCGGAUUUAUUGGGUUUAAAGGGUGCGUAGGCGGUAUUGUAAGUCAGCGGUGAAAUGUCCUCGCCCAACGGGGAACGUGCCGUUAUACUGCAGUACUUGAAUUCGGAUGUCGUGGGAGGAAUGUGUAGUGUAGCGGUGAAAUGCAUAGAUAUUACACAGAACACCGAUUGCGAAGGCAUCUCACGAAUCCGCGAUUGACGCUGAGGCACGAAAGUGUGGGUAUCGAACAGGAUUAGAUACCCUGGUA
rnacentral:rRNA from 1 species